AUUGCUCGGAUAGUUAUAUAUCAAUAUUUAAAUCUUUUUUUUUAUCAUGGAGAAGAAUACGGUAAGGGAGUCAUCCUAACGGUCCAUAAAAUCCGCUGUGCGUACGGCGCCUGCCAAAGGUUUGCUUCAUACGUCUGUGCAAAAAGAAAACGGAGAUUAGAACGGCGGUUCCGGUGGGGUUUAGAUAUCGAACCCCGUCGCCUCUCUCUCUCUCCGGAUCCGAUGGCGAGAGAAGAGCACCCGAUUCCUCGGCCGUGGAUCCUGGAAGCCGUUCCCCUCCUCGUCGUCGUCCUCAUAGCCGCACACGUCUUCGCCCUCGGCUACUGGAUCUAUAGAUUAGCCACCGAUAAGCAGCCCCAGCGAAGCAAGGCGCAUUGACGAACUACAAUAAUUCUCACCCCGUGAGUCCCCUUUCCGUUCCUCAUUUUCCCUUUUGAUCGUUUCUCUCUCUAUCGAUUUUUUUGGUAAAGUUUUCUUCGUAUUAGUCAAGCAAUGCCUGAUUGUCUCUUAGCAAGGAGAGUUCUCAAGGGAGCCGAUGAUGAUCCGUUAGCUCUCGAGCAGUUGGAGUUAGAGUAAAAAUCUGUACAAAUAUGUGGUCAUCAUGUUCAAUUAACUGUGUAGUCCCUCGUAUUUCGUUUUAGGUUAAACUUAAUGGUGUGGAUGUGCAUUUGUUCUUUUCUGGAUAAUCCAUGGCUUAUUUGUUAACGGAAAUAGUUCUGGUA